rnacentral:rRNA from 1 species
AGAGUUUGAUCCUGGCUCAGGAUGAACGCUAGCUACAGGCUUAACACAUGCAAGUCGAGGGGCAGCAUGAUUGAAGCUUGCUUCAAUUGAUGGCGACCGGCGCACGGGUGAGUAACACGUAUCCAACCUGCCGAUGACUCGGGGAUAGCCUUUCGAAAGAAAGAUUAAUACCCGAUGGCAUAGUUCUUCCGCAUGGUGGAACUAUUAAAGAAUUUCGGUCAUCGAUGGGGAUGCGUUCCAUUAGGUUGUUGGCGGGGUAACGGCCCACCAAGCCUUCGAUGGAUAGGGGUUCUGAGAGGAAGGUCCCCCACAUUGGAACUGAGACACGGUCCAAACUCCUACGGGAGGCAGCAGUGAGGAAUAUUGGUCAAUGGACGAGAGUCUGAACCAGCCAAGUAGCGUGAAGGAUGACUGCCCUAUGGGUUGUAAACUUCUUUUAUACGGGAAUAAAGUGAGGCACGUGUGCCUUUUUGUAUGUACCGUAUGAAUAAGGAUCGGCUAACUCCGUGCCAGCAGCCGCGGUAAUACGGAGGAUCCGAGCGUUAUCCGGAUUUAUUGGGUUUAAAGGGAGCGUAGGCGGACGCUUAAGUCAGUUGUGAAAGUUUGCGGCUCAACCGUAAAAUUGCAGUUGAUACUGGGUGUCUUGAGUACAGUAGAGGCAGGCGGAAUUCGUGGUGUAGCGGUGAAAUGCUUAGAUAUCACGAAGAACUCCGAUUGCGAAGGCAGCCUGCUAAGCUGCAACUGACAUUGAUGCUCGAAAGUGUGGGUAUCAAACAGGAUUAGAUACCCUGGUAGUCCACACGGUAAACGAUGAAUACUCGCUGUUUGCGAUAUACAGCAAGCGGCCAAGCGAAAGCGUUAAGUAUUCCACCUGGGGAGUACGCCGGCAACGGUGAAACUCAAAGGAAUUGACGGGGGCCCGCACAAGCGGAGGAACAUGUGGUUUAA